rnacentral:rRNA from 1 species
GAUGAACGCUGGCGGCGUGCCUAAUACAUGCAAGUCGAGCAAACAGAUGAGGAGCUUGCUCCUCUGACGUUAGCGGCGGACGGGUGAGUAACACGUGGAUAACCUACCUAUAAGACUGGGAUAACUUCGGGAAACCGGAGCUAAUACCGGAUAAUAUAUUGAACCGCAUGGUUCAAUAGUGAAAGACGGUUUUGCUGUCACUUAUAGAUGGAUCCGCGCCGCAUUAGCUAGUUGGUAAGGUAACGGCUUACCAAGGCAACGAUGCGUAGCCGACCUGAGAGGGUGAUCGGCCACACUGGAACUGAGACACGGUCCAGACUCCUACGGGAGGCAGCAGUAGGGAAUCUUCCGCAAUGGGCGAAAGCCUGACGGAGCAACGCCGCGUGAGUGAUGAAGGUCUUCGGAUCGUAAAACUCUGUUAUUAGGGAAGAACAAAUGUGUAAGUAACUAUGCACGUCUUGACGGUACCUAAUCAGAAAGCCACGGCUAACUACGU